UGAUGCAGAGGCACAGAAGGGAACAGGAACAUCCCCAUCUUACCACAAACAAUUCCUCCCAGCCAGCACCUCUAGCAAGGAGCUCUCUCCAGAAGUACCAGCUCUGUCAGCACAAAGGGACUGAGCGCUCCACAGCAAGAGCUCACAGGACUCACAACCAGCAGAUACACUUGUUUGAAACAGAAGGACAGCCAAUGGAAAAAGGAAAAAGCUUUAACCCAGCACACUUUCCUCGUGUACUGCAGAAGUCAAAGAGGAGCAAAGUGCACUGGAAGCUCAAGGACACCAGGAAAUUCUAGGUGUCCAUAGCAAGAGCAAUACACACCAUGGGAAAGCAGCUGUGAAUCCAGUGUGAUGACUGAAUUAGUAAUAAAAUUCCAUUCUUUAUGCACAAAUAAAGUACAACUUUGGCAGCAAGCA